GAAGAAAGCCAUACGGGUUUGGAUCGACCUGAGGGCUUUUCUCUCUCAGAUGAACGAGUGAUUAAAACCGUAUCGGUAGAAGCCAAACAGGGAUCCAUAGACAAGACGAAUGUACACACAGCUGAUCCCUCGACGCUGGGGGAAAAAACGCAGAACCUCUGCAUUGUGAACACUGGGAUGAUCAGGAUGGCUUUUGUGGCGCUAAAUCGAGAGGAAAAGUGGAUCGGCUGGCAACCGAGAAAAGGCCUGGUCUGGCUUUGUUUGAUAUUUUGGACUGAGAUGUAUUUUCUCAGCGUGAGUAUACUCGGGCUCUCAUUGUCAGAGGCAGAGCAAUCAGAAAAAGACAACAGACUCACUGAGAACCGUCGGUAAGCAGGAUGCAAUAACCCUCAAAAUAAAGCUCGAUACCCACACGUCUCCUUUGAAUAUAGAACGGCGACUGGACUCUAGUUCAACUCUGUAGAAAUGAAAAUGUAACUACAGGGAUAAAGACCUGCUCCGUCAGAAUGCCCAACAAAUUGCGGUACGUCACGUGUCCACCAAUCGCCAUUCGCUCAGGUAAGGUGUGGAAAACGGAGCUGUCUUUUUCCUUCAAAGAACCCACUGCCGCAAUUACCGCUGCAGUUUAGAGAAUGAAUGGUGACUUCA